rnacentral:rRNA from 1 species
AGAGCGAACGCUGGCGGCAGGCCUAAUACAUGCAAGUCGAGCGGUCGUAGCAAUACGGCAGCGGCAGACGGGAGAGUAACACGUGGGAACGUACCUUUUGGUUCGGAACAACCCAGGGAAACUUGGGCUAAUACCGGAUAAGCCCUUACGGGGAAAGAUUUAUCGCCAAAAGAUCGGCCCGCGUCUGAUUAGCUAGUUGGUGGGGUAACGGCCCACCAAGGCGACGAUCAGUAGCUGGUCUGAGAGGAUGAUCAGCCACAUUGGGACUGAGACACGGCCCAAACUCCUACGGGAGGCAGCAGUGGGGAAUAUUGGACAAUGGGCGCAAGCCUGAUCCAGCCAUGCCGCGUGAGUGAUGAAGGCCCUAGGGUUGUAAAGCUCUUUUGUGCGGGAAGAUAAUGACGGUACCGCAAGAAUAAGCCCCGGCUAACUUCGUGCCAGCAGCCGC